GUCACAGUUGGUCAUACUUGGUGAGCUCAAGGCAGACUGCAAGCAUCACCAUCCGCCCAUUGGUCGGGUUCCUGUUCUCUCCCGCCUCACUGUGGACAUGACAUGGAAGCUGCUUCUUCACCUCACAUGCCAUCAGCUUCCAAUACUCAUGACUGAAGCCAAGGAUGAGAAGCUUCUUUCUGCUUGGGAGCUGCCCAGAUGAGACUUUACACUCACAUGGGAGAGUGAUCUAAGUUACUUUCACCUGACAGACAUCAACCAACAGAAAAUAGCACAUCUCAGAUUUUGACAAUUGUAUUCAAUUUUGGGCAUGGUUUCACUAAGACACUAGCAAAUGUUUAAUUUUCAUCAUGCUUGGAUGCCACUCUGGAAAUCAUCUGAUGUCAGUGGAUGGGCACAGCUCAUCCUAAAUGAUACAGAAGAUACACAAGAUACAGAAGUCUUGACAUCAAAUUUUGCUGGAUUUCACAGUGUGAAAACAUCACAAUCAGUUUGAAAUUCAACUGAUCCAUGGAUAAUAUAAAAGUUUCACAAAACUAUAAGGGAUCAGUCUGCUGACUUGGUGGUAUUUGGAGCACAAGGUGAGAGACAGAGAGCUGGAUUUGUCCUGACUUGGGAAGAGAAGGUGAAACAAGACCUUAUGAUUUUAUUCAUUUUUUAUAACGUGCUUCUAAAGAAGACAGAGCCAAACUUCUGGAGGUGCACAGGAAAGAGGCAAUAAACACAGGCUGCAACCAAGGAAAUUCCAGUUAAGCAUUAGGAAUCUUUCCUCAUCAAUGAGAGUGGUCACAGACUGGAACAGGUGUGCAGGGGGACAAGGAGUCUCCAUUCUUGCAGGUGUUUAAAGCCCAACUGGACACAGCCCUGAGCAGCCCGAGUUGUCUUUGUAGGUGGAUCUAAUUUCAAAGUUGGAUCUGCUCUAAACAUGCCUGUUGGACCAGGCAGCUUCCAAGGAUGAGUUAUUCCCUGACAGAGAGAGCUGCUGCAAGGCUGCUCUGCUCUAUCAGAAAGUGCCUUAUAACAGACCCUGAUCUAACAGCAUCAACAACAGAGCAUCAACUUUUAGGUGCUUCUCCCUGGCCCCAUUUGCCAGCAGGUUAUUAAGAAGGGUUAUUGGAUUGCAGAUAUGCCCCAGAAUGUGUUGUGCAUUCUAUCAAGGCACAAAAACUUUUUGUAGUUGUGUUUUCUCAGGUGGGAGUUGUUCCUUCACGAGCACUGCCUCAAACACCUUACAAGAAAAGGGAGGUGCAGGCUUUGUUUUCUUACCUUGUGCUGACAGAAGAGACACCCUCUCGUUAUGCCUGCACUAGAAUAAAACAACUCUUGAGCUGGUUUUGUUUUUCUGUGUGUAUGUUUGCUUUUGUUUUUCACAUCCCUAAAUGCUUCCUAGUGUUACAACAAAAAACAAGCAAACAAACAAAAAACCCAAACAGGAUCUGAGCUUCAUGUUACAUUUGUAUCCAACAUCUGCAAUCUAAUCUCUCCAAAACAAGGGGUUUGUUUAGAAUGAGUCUGGAUUCUAAACAAACAAGUGAAGAGUUAGAAGAUACUCUUAAAGCACAUACAAACCACACAUUAAAUAUACACUGCACAGGACUUGGAGAUUUUACUUUAAUGCCCAGUUCUGCACACAAACCCUAAAGGAACUUGGCCAAGAUAUUUUGUUUUUCUCUGUCUUGUUUCUCUCCCAUAAAAAAGAAAAUGAUAUCACCUUUUUGCCACUCUUCGCCUUUCUAAAUACACAGGGCUGAAAAACUCAAAGGAAAAGAGCUCUGUCCUAUUAUAUUAUGAACUCACCAGCAGUCAAGUUAUCAAAAAAAAAAAAAAAAAUAUGGUUAGCAUAUGCUGAACAAAAAGAGAAAGAGAGAAAAAGAGCAAGUACUACCUUGCAAGUAUACUAUUGAUUUGGCUUAAUUGAAAAACUUAUGACUCUUGGAGGGUGAAGGCUUUUCCCACAUCCUUAUGCAGCACUGUCUGUCUGUUGUGCCAUCCAGACUGUGUCCAUAAGUCCACAACAAAAGUCUCCCUCCAGGAUAGCUUCUUUUACAAGAAACAUUUCCCACUGAGAUCCAGAUUUAGAAAACACAAUCCCCUGGGAUCAGUGUGAGGAAUCAGAUGGAAUCUAAGCAGUGGCACUGAAAGCAGACACCUGACACCUGAG